GAAAUGAGGGUGGCCAGCUUUAUUUCCAGAACGAAAUGAGAGAUCAACAUGUCCAAUCCUGGUCCACCGGUUUCUGUGAGAAACUCUUCGCUUCCGCAGAAUGUGAAUGCGUCCAGGAAUCCAUGGACUGGCCCAUCAUACCAGCAAAUGGUCACCUCAAAUUACUACGAACCAGAAUGUUCAAGCCCCAGUUCAGAAAAUGGGAGUCGCAUCUAUCAUGUGAUAGAUGGACCCGGACCUCCCAUAAACUACGAUGCCAAUGGAACAAAACCUGCAUCCUCAAAAAUUCGCAAACAACCUGCACCAGUACAAAAUCAUCACUUGGUUCCACACCCGCAAGGUGUAACAACAAUGAAGAAGUUACCUCCUCUGGAACAACUCCCUCGCAUGCCGCACCUCCAAGCUAGUCAUGAUUCUGUCCGCGGCCCUCCACAGUUCUACACACGGGACUCAUUUCCCCGACACUUUCGACCACCGAGCCAAGGAGAUUAUCUGGAAGAAAUACGACCACAGCCGCCAUUUUAUAAUGUGGGGAGUGGUCGAACCUCACGGGCCACAUUGGACGUACCACUGUCAUCAACCACUUCCGAUGAUGAUGGAGGAGGGAUUGAUGCUUGCGGCGGACAUUGUGUUGCAUUUGAGAACUUUUGCCACUAUUGUCUCCAGGUUAUUUUCAUAGCAGGAAUUUUAACGGGAAUCUCAUUGAUGAUUGCUGGUUCAAUUCUCAUCGGUCAGCGAGGCAAUGAUGAUAAUCAUUCUGAUUACAUUUACAUUGGUUGUCUCAUGAUGCUUGUUUGUACACUCUUGCUCUCGGUCCAAUGCUGCGUCCGACGUAACGUGAAGCGGCGCAAGCGUGCUUUGCGCCGACAAGCAACUCGACGGAGGCCAUCGUCAGCACACACUUACAACGACCGCAUUCCCCUGAAUGAUAUUUCUCCACCAUCAUCAACAAUUAGAGAAAUAUCUCUACCAUCAUCAACGACAAGGGACAUUUACCCAGUCAAUGGUCAGCUGAGUGCACUGAAUACUCAAAACAUCAGUGUCCAUGACAAACUAAAUUCAACAAUGGAUUCCUCUGCAAGCCAAAGUGGAAUACCUUGGUGGCGCAGACAAGAGUUUGAAGAUCUUAUGCAUCAACACAAUUUUGUAUGAAGAUGACCUUGACAACUGGCCAAAACUGGUUGCUAGAAGAUACCACUUGUACAGAUAAGUUAGCUUUACUUCUGAUCACUAAUCUUUAGGAAUAUACAUCUAAAUCAAAAGACCUUCAUAAUUGUCAUUUCUUCAACAGUACGAGCAUCAAUGAGAGGUCAAUGUCUUCAUAAGCAGCAUUUCCUGCGUAAUUUAUGGUAGAUAAGUGAUCAGACGUAGGCUUUUACAGACAAACCUCCUGCUUAUAUUUGUUAUAUUUUAUUUUUUAUUUCCAAAGAAAAAAUUUAAAGGAGAUGGCUUGAGCUGCUCCAGUUCUCUCAUGUAGGUGUUUAUUUAAUUUGCAGAGUGGGAGCUAAUUUUCAAUUUUCAGUCAACAUGUUUAAGCUGGACUCAAGCUUCAUCAAAUACAUACUAUUCUCCUAGACAAAUAUUCUAUUUGUUUUAGUAUGACGUACAGUCCGCAUCAUUUAAAGCUUCCUUGAAACUUGUAUGAUGAUUUCUGUAACUACAUUAUGAAAUUAUGCAUUUUGACACUAUUUGUUCCUUUUGUUUGUACAUACAUACAUUAAAUACCUUGAGUACUGUAAGUAAGAAGCCUUUUAAUCGGUUCUUUUCUACUUUCAAAUGAGCGAGUUAUUAAAUUUUACUGUAAAUACAUACGUGUAAAUUGAAAAAGAUUAGAAGUUGCUUGUUUUUCAGCUAGCAAGCAUUUUCCCCUCUUAUUUUCUGUUUCUUCUUUUCAUAAUUGUACUGACCUAUUUGUAACUGGUGGGAAUUCAAUCAGAUUUGACCUAACUUUAAACAUCUGAUCAUUUUUAAAUGAGGUGCUCUCAAAAACCAAGGAUGGAUAGUUCGAAAGCACAGAAUUCGAUUCUCUAUUUUCCCUACUCAUAAUAUGGGUAGACGUUCAAAACAGUCUAAAUUUUUUUCAUUCAUAUAUGAAAUGAAGACAAGUUCACAGCAUAAAUGGAACAGAUAAACAUGAAAUGCAAGUUCUUUCAUCUAGAUUGAUAUGAACAGCUGAUACUUUCGUACAAUCAAUUUGUAAAAGACAUUGAAACAAUACUAAUAGCUAUAAUUAAAAAUGAAACAGAAAGAUGAAGCUAGCGAGUAUGCGUGAUGGAAAUGGACACUGUGUGUAGGAAGCUUUGGGAAACUGCAUCGCUUUAUUUAUCAAUCAUUUUACUUUAAUUUUUUACUUUUUUAAAACCUAGGCACUGCUUUACAUUGUUCCUUGAACACUGAGAAAUCGAUGGCUGAUAAACAUCACCGAUUAUUUGCCAAUUGAAGAUUUCAUAGGAUGAAGAAAAAACUUCGCCAUUUUGUGAUUUUGAGGUCACGUUAGCGAUUUUUUAUGCAUUAUAGUGUCAUUACAGUGCUCUCAUUUGGGAUUGGAAAAAACUAAAAAACACCAGCUUGCAUAUUAUUACUGUAGAAUGCGGCAAAGACUCCAACUAAUUUUGCCUAAAUUGUCAGCCGAGCGAUAUUGUUCCUUAGCCUAGAAAUUUAACUCAUGUAUUGUAAUUGAUUUUACAACUAAUUAACUGUGAUAAAGUAAAUCGGAAAGGAGAACUGACUAGUAUAAUGUUCACAAGUUAUCAUCACCCUUUAAUAUAAUUUCUCCAGUAUUUUGAAUAGAAAAUACUAAAGAGAGAGAAUGAAAAAAUUAUACACGCUAAUCAGUCCUGUAUCAAAUUUUCUGGAUCUUCUGCUCUUUCUCUCAAAUUUUUUGAAUCACGGUUUGAAGUAGCAGAAGAAUCAUCUGAAGUACUAAAAACUUCUUUUAUCGAGCUUUAAGAGUAUUUACUGAAGUAGUCAAUUGUAAUUCAAGGAACCCACUUACAAAUUGGAAACUGUCACCCUCUCCUUAUUUUUUUAUUUAUGAUGUAAUAUCUAUCUCUACUUAUGGAAUGGUUUCAUAGCAGUUCUACCCACAGAGAAAAAGAAAGAGUCUUAGUUGCCAAAAUUUUUAUUUGAACUGGAAUGUAACCAACCUUGUUACAGGUUGUUUCAAGUCAAUGCCUCCUAAUUCUGCAUUUUCACUUUGGUGACAUUUUUGCUCAAGAUUUUCUCUUUUAAAGUAAUGAAAUUUAAUUAAUUUAUUUUGAUCAUAUUUUUCUAAUACUCUCUAUGGCUCCCGAAGAUUCAUUUAAUUUUUGUCAGUUCUAUUGCAAGUAACCUUUGCCGAUGGACUUAAAUUAACUCAGAGAAUUUAAGAAUUAUUAUUCGGUUAUUCUAUUGGUAGUAUCAUACCAAAGUGCUCAAUGUUUAGGCUCUCAAAUAUCUAAGUUUUUCACGUUUUUACUGAAAUUUAUUCUGUCUUAUUUUUAUAUUUUUUUAAUACUUUCCACUAUUUUCAACACCUAAUUGUAAGUAUGUAUUUUAGAAUUGUUCAAUUUUCAUGGACAAAUGUUGGCAUCCACAUAUUUUUACUUCAAUGUAGCUCAUUAUAAAAUACCUGACCAGCAAUGGUAAUUCAGUGGUAAAUAUGCCAAUAAGCAUGUGCCAAUAAAUUAGGUAGUUGGUUUCUAAUUCUAUCUAAUACCCCCCUCACUCACAAGAUAAUGGGGCCAUGUGUAUCACUUCAAUUUUACAAACACAGUUUUUAAGAAAUGUUUUUUCUGAAUACGUCACAAAAAGUGUGAUAAAUUUUAUGUCUCGUAAUUAGAAAAAAAUGUUUGUUUUGGAAAGUUUGGUUCAAACCUUAAAACAAUGGAUCAAAGUCUGAAAGAAUGACUCCAGAAAUAAAGUCAAAGGAAAAAGAUGUGUGUAUCUUCUUUAUUAAAUAGCUAAUCAAGACUAGGAACGGAGUCCAUAUUAUAUUGAUAAUAAAAAUACUCUAAGGAAGAAUUUUGUUCCACCUCAGAGCCAUUUUCAAACACUUCUAAGACCUCAGUUUUGUGAUCAAUUUGAUUUUAACUGCCAGUCCCCUUUCCAUCGAACUGAUUUUUUAAAAUAAUUUUUCCUAGCUGACGAUUCUUUUUUAGAAACCAUUUACACUAAAAUUGCCUCUUCUUUCAGUGCCUUUUAAUAAAGUUGAAAAAGUUAUUUGUUUCAAUUCGUGCCCCUUUGAUUUUGGUGUAUUGUAAAUUAUUAUUUUAUUUUUUUGUAACUUAAUUUGAUAGCAUACUUAUUUUUGUACAGAUCCAUUAGUCAAGAUCGCAGUAUGAAAAAUCCUUAUUUUUAUUCUCUUUUGUAAAAAUAAACCAUUUACUUUUAUUUACUUAGGUAAUUUUUUUAAAAAUAUUUAAUAAACUUGACUCUCUUUACUUUAAAAAUAGCUGCCUUUUCUUCUCUACUCUUCUUCCUUGUAAUAGUCCCUUCUAUUAUAUACACGUAUUUAUGCUAAAAGGAACUAUGUGCGCCAAUAUUGUUCCUUUUAGUGUGAAUAUAUCCAAAUAGGUUUUCUAUUUGUUUUCAAACUGUUUUUUUUCCAAUUCUUCAAAUCAAUUCUUAGUGGUUGUUCUGAUUUUCAAGGGUUUUUUUUUCUUCUUUUUUUUUUUCUAUUUAACCCACCCUUCAAGCUUCAAGACUUUAAUAACAAACCACACCCAUGAGUAAGACAAAAAAACGAAGCCUU
rnacentral:lncRNA from 1 species